rnacentral:rRNA from 1 species
UUUGUCUUAUAGUAAUAUUUUGAAAUUAAUUUUUUAGUUAAAAAGCUAAAAUUAAUUUUAAAGACAAGAAGACCCUAUUAAGCUUUACAAUUCUAUAUUAUUUUCAAACUAAUAAAAUAAUUGUUCUGCUGGGGCACCAAAUAAAUAAAUAUUAUUUAUAUAUUGUGAUAAAUAAAUCUAGAAAAAUCAAUAAUUUAUUAAAUAAUAACAAGUUACUAUAGGGAUAACAGCAUAAUUUUUUUAAAGAGUUCUCAUCAACAAAAAAGUUUGUGACCUCGAUGUUGGAUU